GAUGCUUCUCAUACUUGGGAAUCAGAAUUUUUAUUAGAGAUUUUUUAUUAACAAAUGCCAUCCAGUUUUUUUUUUUUUCUUUUCUUUCUUAAGCCCACUACUAAGUUUUGGGUGUUGCUCCCUACACCUCCCCAAGUGAGACCUGUACCUCCCCAUUAAUUUAAUUUAUUUUAAAAAUAUUCUAUAUCUCCCCAUUAUUUUCUUUAUUUCAAAAAUAUCCUACACCUCCCCACCAGUAUCCUUAACAAUCUUUCUAUAUCUCUCUCUACAUUAAUGGAGCAUUCACGUGGUUCAGAUUUG
rnacentral:lncRNA from 1 species